GCCAGACUCCUACGGGAGGCAGCAGUGAGGAAUAUUGGUCAAUGGGCGCGAGCCUGAACCAGCCAAGUAGCGUGAAGGAUGACUGCCCUACGGGUUGUAAACUUCUUUUAUAAAGGAAUAAAGUGAGGCACGUGUGCCUUUUUGUAUGUACUUUAUGAAUAAGGAUCGGCUAACUCCGUGCCAGCAGCCGCGGUAAUACGGAGGAUCCGAGCGUUAUCCGGAUUUAUUGGGUUUAAAGGGUGCGUAGGCGGGCUGUUAAGUCGGCGGUAAAAUGGCGGGGCUCAACCCCGGCCUGCCGUUGAAACUGCCGGCCUCGAGUGGGCGAGAAGUAUGCGGAAUGCGUGGUGUAGCGGUGAAAUGCAUAGAUAUCACGCAGAACUCCGAUUGCGAAGGCAGCAUGCCGGCUCCACACUGACGCUGAGGCACGAAAGCGUGGGUAUCGAACAGGAUUAGAUACCCCCGUA
rnacentral:rRNA from 1 species